GUAGGUGGCAAGCGUUGUCCGGAAUUAUUGGGCGUAAAGCGCGCGCAGGCGGUCCUUUAAGUCUGAUGUGAAAGCCCACGGCUCAACCGUGGAGGGUCAUUGGAAACUGGGGGACUUGAGUACAGAAGAGGAAAGCGGAAUUCCAAGUGUAGCGGUGAAAUGCGUAGAGAUUUGGAGGAACACCAGCGGCGAAGGCGGCUUUCUGGUCUGUAACUGACGCUGAGGCGCGAAAGCGUGGGGAGCAAACAGGGAUUAGAUACCCUGGUAGUCCACGCCGUAAACGAUGAGUGCUAAGUGUUAGGGGGUUUCCCGCCCCUUAGUGCUGCAGCUAACGCAUUAAGCACUCCGCCUGGGGAUACGGCCGCAAGGCUG
rnacentral:rRNA from 1 species